GGCCGCUGUGGUUCGGCUCCUUGCUUCUGGGUAGUCUUCGCGGGGCAGUCCAGGCCGUUCGUCCCUUUCACCCGUGUCGGGGAGCCGGGAGCCGGCCCCGGCGGGAGAGAGCGCUCCAGAUGACGCUGCAGGGGCAUUGACCAUGGCACUGCUCUUGGCCGUCGGGGGCGCGACCUGGCGUUGCUCGGGUCGCCUCCCCGCGCGUCAUUUCUCCGGAGCGGCGCGGCGUGGGGAGAGGCCAGGCGGGGAGGAGCUGAGCCGCCUGCUGCUGGACGACCUGGCGCCGACCUCGCGCUCUGCGGGGGGACUGGAACUUCUGUUUGGCCUGUCCCCUUGUCUCCUGGCCCUGCGGGCCGCCCGUCGCCGCGUGACCAGACUCCUGCUCCAGGCCGGCAGGUCCGGGCUGCAGGGGGAGAGGGCCGAGCUGCUCCGGGCGGCAGAGGCACGGGACAUCCCCGUUCUGCGGCCCAGACGGCAGAAGCUGGACGCCCUGUGCCGCUUUCAGGUCCACCAGGGCGUCUGCAUGGAGGUGAGCCCGCUGAAGCCUCGGCCUUGGACCGAGGUCGGGGAGGCGAGGCCAGGCGACGACCCCCAGCAGCUGUGGCUCGUCCUCGAGAGCCUCCAGGAUCCCCGGAAUCUUGGGGCCGUGCUGCGUUCUGCUCACUUCCUCGGAGUGGAUAAAGUCAUCACCAGCGGGAGAAACAGCUGCCCACUCACUCCGGUAGUCAGCAAGGCCAGCGCGGGGGCUCUGGAGGUGAUGGACGUGUUCUCCACUGAUGACCUGGCCGGCUUUCUACAGGCUAAAGCCCGGCAGGGCUGGCUCGUGGCUGGCACGGUGGGCUGCCCAGGGCCUGAGAUUUCCCCGUCCUCUGAGAUCCCCACCACUAGCUGCUUGGAGUUCCUCUGGGACCGGCCUACUCUCCUAGUGCUGGGUAACGAGGGCUCGGGCCUGUCCCCGGCCGUGCAAGCCUCCUGCCAGCUGGCGCUUACCGUCCUGCCCGGCCGGCGGCUGCCUCCUGGACUGGGGUCCUUGAAUGUCUCCGUGGCUGCAGGAAUUCUUCUUCACUCCAUUUGCAGCCAGAGGAAGGGUUUCCCUGUGGAGGGGAAGAGAGAGCACCUUCUCCAAGACCCCUGAGAACCCUCAGCCACAUCCGAAGGGCCCGGAGUGGCGCAGCACCCAGGACUGGCCUCAGGAUCAGAACAAGAGAGGCAGAAUGGGAGCUGACUUGGACUGAGUUGUGUGUACUGGAGGGCACACAUACCCACACGCUCGAAUGUGCUGGAGUCUCUUACCCAAGUGUGCACCCAGGCCCUUCUUUACUAGAGACCAGAGGAAAGUUGUUUCCUGUUUUGAUUUUGGCCUUGGGCUUGGGGGUGGUGGCUUGUUGAUCUCCAGGAUGUGCUGGGCUGGGAUAGAGGGUCUCUCCUCCAGGGCCCUGCCUGGAAAUGAAGACAUCAGAAGGGAAUCGGGCAGCCCAGUCCAGGUGUCCUGCUCCUCCUGAACCAGUGUGAGAACGUAGAGGGAGGCCUGAGUUCCUCUUGUGGAUGAGACAGGUGGCAGCCUUGGUCUUUGAUCCACAGUCUCUUGGCAGCUUUGGCAGCCACCUGGGGAGGUGCUUGGCGGUGGCCCCCAGAGAGGCGAGGGGAAGAAUAGCAAAUGCCUCUCACCUCACUGGCCCUCCAGAACCCCUCACCAGCGACUCAUCGGUGCACCUCUGAGAAAGGAACCUAUGAACCACAGAACCUGGCCUUUGGUUCUGUGUAGUAAUGAGCACAGGGUUGCUGUCGAUUAUACACCCCAGAUGGGUUUGGUCCUCCUUCCACGGGGUCCCACAAGUGGAGCAGAAGCCCCCAGUAUAAAUGGUUUAGAGCAGUCUUGGCUGCACGUUGGAACCAUCUGGCAAGCUUUCAAAAACAACCGACACUGGGGGACUACCCCUAGAGAACCUGGUGUAAAUGGUCAGGGGGCAGCCCUGGGUAUCAGGAUCGUUAAAGCCGCCAAGUGGGUGUGCUGUGUAGCCCCAGCCGAGAACCAAUGGAGCAGGGCUUCUGGUCCUCAGCAGUCUUGACAUUCGUUGUGAUGGCUUGUCCCCCACUGGAUGCCAGUAGCACGCCCUGCACCCUGUUGUGACAACCAAACGUGUCUCCAGACAUUGCCACAUGUCCCCCCCGGAGGACACAGUUGCCCCUAGUUGAGAACCACUGCUCUGGAGCCUGGAUCUGGGGGACAGCAACCCAAGUUCAAGUCCCGAUUGCUGUGUGACCUUGGGCAAGUUCCUUUCCCACCUGAACCUCAGUCUCCUCGUCCGUGAAGGGGGGUGACCCUACCUUCCCGAGUUGUGGGAGGACGAGAGGGCAACGUGAGCUCAAUGCCCCCCACACAGUGGUGCUCAGUAAAUCGUAGCACCCUUUUCUCUUUGGAAUGAGUUUAUCUUGGAAUUUGAUGGGGAUGCCAGUUUAGAAAGACAUUAAAAGAUUAGACAAUAAAAGAUUGCUCUAAAGUCAAAGUUCUUCCUCUCAAGAAAGAGGAAGAGGGGCGCCUGGGUGGCUCAGUCGUUAAGCGUCUGCCUUCGGCUCAGGUCAUGAUCCCAGGGUCCUGGGAUCGAGCCCCGCAUCGGGCUCCCUGCUCGGCAGGAAGCCUGCU